CGCACGCGCACAGAUCCUAAGCUCGCUCGUGUUGUUGUCUGCCGCUUGUAAUAUAUUAUAUAUAUCGGAUAUAUAUUCUAGUCGAUCGCGUAAGAGAGAAACCGAACCGGUCGGAGCGACGAGCUCCAAGCUAAUGAAAAUCAGGCUGCAGCUAUGGAGCUACCGAGUGCAACUGCAGUUGCAUUCUUAUCGAAACCGCACAAUCAGCAAAGGGAGGGGAAAAAGGGAAAAAGCCAAUCACUGGUAAUGAUGACGACGACGACGAUGAUGAUGAUGAUGAUGUGAAUGUGGAUGCCACGGAGGUUGCUGCUGCAGCUUCAGCUUCAGAAGCGGAUGCGGUAUGAGGGGCUAAAAAGGGCAGCCCCAAAUGGUCGGAUGUCGGAGGACGGCGAAGGAACGACGGAGGACGAAGGAGCGCUUCUUAGCCCAAGGCAAACAAAUCAAGGAGCGACAGGGACAACCACUCGGCGACCGGAGCUGCAACUGCAACGGCAGCUUCAGCGGCGAGGCGACUCUCUUUUUGCCUGCAGUUAAGUGCAAUGGGGCUUGACUUCAAUUGUUCUGCUGAAGCCAGAAGGAGCUCCAACUCCAAUAAUAAAAACAAAAACUAAAAACAAAAAUUAAAUAGUAAUUACACGACAGCUAUAAAGGUUCUGGAAAGGGUUUAGGUUUCAAAUUUAAUUUCCCUUAAAAUUAGAAACUUAAAACGUUUGAAGUUAAAAGUCGUUCAUUCCAAAUAAUUUUGUUUUUAUGAGGAUCAUGAAUACUUUUUCAGAAAAUGGUGUCUUUAUGGUACAUUUUAUUCUGAAGAGUUCUAAGGGUUGACAAGACUUCAGAGUAUAUCUUUGAAGAAACAGAAAUGAUACCAAUACUAAAUUAAUGUCUAAAAGAAGUAGAGAUAUAAAAUCUUAAAUAUUAGGCACAUGGUUGUAAGAUAUAAUCCAAAUGCAUGGCCGUUGUCGCUAGUACUCCUGCUUAUAUUAACACAUAAUAAUAUUAUAUAUAGGUUUUAUACAAAAAAAAAAAAUCAUUAUACCAAUAAUUUGAAAAAUUUAUACACAUGUGUAUGUGUGAAAUUUACACUGUGAACUAUAUAUUAUGACCUAUAUAUUGACUUAUAUCAUGUAAUUUUGUAACCUUUGUAAAUUUAUACACCUUGUUUAUGAAAUUCAAUUAAUUAUUUUAAACAAAAAAUUAACUAAGUUCAAACAAUGAUUGAUAGACUAGA